rnacentral:rRNA from 1 species
GACGAACGCUGGCGGCGUGCUUAACACAUGCAAGUCGAACGGAAAGGCCCUGCUUUUGUGGGGUGCUCGAGUGGCGAACGGGUGAGUAACACGUGAGUAACCUGCCCUUGACUUUGGGAUAACUUCAGGAAACUGGGGCUAAUACCGGAUAGGAGCUCCUGCUGCAUGGUGGGGGUUGGAAAGUUUCGGCGGUUGGGGAUGGACUCGGGGCUUAUCAGCUUGUUGGUGGGGUAGUGGCUUACCAAGGCUUUGACGGGUAGCCGGCCUGGGGAGGGGACCGGGCACACGGGGACUGAGGGAGGGCCCAGACUGCAACGGGGGGCAGUGGGGGGGAGCCUGGUCCAACGGGGGGAAGCGCGAUGCAGAGGCGCCGCGGUCGGGAUCAGGGCCUGGCGGGUGCAAAACGCUGUCCGCUGUUACCGAGCGUGAAUGACGGUAACGGGUAAAGAAGCACCGGCUAACUACGUG